GGGGCCCGCACAAGCAGCGGAGCGUGUGGUUUAAUUCGAUGCAACACGAAGAACCUUACCAGGGCUUGACAUGUUGGAAGUAGUGAACCGAAAGGGGAACGACCUGUUAAGUCAGGAGCCAUCACAGGUGCUGCAUGGCUGUCGUCGGCUCGUGCCGUGAGGUGUCGGGUUAAGUCCCAUAACGAGCGCAACCCCUGUUGCCAGUUAAUUUCUCUGGCGAGACUGCCCCGCAAACGGGAGGAAGGCGGGGAUGACGUCAAGUCAGCAUGGCCCUUAUGUCCUGGGCUACACACACGCUACAAUGGGUGGUACAACAGGUUGCAAUGGAGCAAUCCGGAGCUAAUCCUAAAAAACCAUCCUCAGUUCGGAUUGUAGGCUGAAAUUCGCCUGCAUGAAGUCGGAGUUGCUAGUAACCGCGUGUCAGAAUGGCGCGGUGAAUACGUUCUCGGGCCUU
rnacentral:rRNA from 1 species